ACAAAUGCCACGGAUGUGAAAGGUGUCGCUGGGAUUACCAAUGACGUGCUAAUGGUUGUUGAAGCAAUCUCUUUGCCUCUUUUUCUGACUCACCAGCUCCCUUUGGGGGCUUCUUCCACGUCAUUGAGGGACUGCGGGUCAUUGACAGAAUAUCCACUGCAGACCUCAGCAGAGUGGAGGCAAUGUCAAGAGAGCCUACAGCUAAUCAACCCUAUGGAAAUCCAGGCUGCUGCCUCGAGAGAGAUGCAAUGUAAUUUGAAAAUGGGGUGGAAGGUUUCUGAGAAAUUUCAACAACUGUGAUCCAUUUUGCCUCCAUUGAACCCUCCUCAGACUCUAUUGAAAUAGAUGACAGAAGCGAACAAAAUUUGACAGUGAUGAAAACCAAUGGCACUGGUCAUCUUAUUCAGAGAGACAGCACAGAAACAGGCCUUUGCGACCCAACGAGCCUGUACCCAUGUGACCAAUCAGCCUAUAGUUCUUUGGAAUGUGGGAGCAAACUGAAGCACUCAGAGGAAAUCCAUGUGGUCUCAGGGAGAACGUACAAACUCCUUACAGACAGCAGCAGAAUCAAACUGAUGUUGUUUAUCUAUGCUUCAGUUCACUCGCAAUUCUAUUUAAAUCUAUACCAUGUAAUAGAGCCAUCUGCUCAUGGAGUCCAUUUGCCCACUGUGUUCUUGUUUUUGACCAUCUACUCCGCAUCAAGUCUAACUGUCAAUUCCUUGCCUAUUUUGGUGUCUGCUUACUGUCUCUUAGAGAUAUCUAACUCCACCACCUUCUCUAAAAUGAGUUCCAGAUAACAACUAAUCUUUGCGUAAAACUUUCCUUUUAAAUCCCUUUCAUCUGCUCCAUUGCAAUUCAUGUUAGAAAUAUAAAGAGGUAUGCAAAAUUUGUGAGGGGGGAUAGAUAGCAUAAGUGCAAGCAUGCUUUUUCUGCUGAGUUUGGUGAGACUGAAUUAGAGAUCAUAGGUUAAGGGUGAUAGGUAAAAUACUUAUGGGGGACCCAAAGAAGAACUUCUUCACUCAGACGGUGGUAACAAUAUGGAACAAGCUGCCAGUGGAAGUGAUGGAUAUGGGUUUGAUUCCAGCAAUGUAAGAGAAAUUUGGUUAAGUACAUGGAUGGGAGAAGUAUGGAGUGGUAUGGUUCAGAUUAAUGAAACUAGGCAAGACUAGAUGGGCCAGAAGGCCUGUUACUGUGUUGUGGUGUUCUUUGACUCUAUAACUGGAAGAUGCUUGUGCCAGCUGUGAGCAUUGGUAAUGUUUUGAACCUUAUUUUUAAGAUCAAACUUCAGACUAUAUUUAAUUACAUUAAUAAGUCAAAAGAAAGAUUUUUUUUCUCCAUCCAUCACUCAGUUCAUGCUGCUAUAAUAUUAAAGAAGGAAUUUCACACAGGUUCAUUCUGUUUGUGCGCAUAUAUAGCUGAUACACAUUGUACUCACCAGAACAGCUUUGUCACUGCUAAGUGCAUAUAGCCUUCAUCACAAUAUCAGGCAUCGUGAUGUUAUCAUUUUGCCUUUGUCAUGGUUUCUGAUGUCCUGCCUCUUGUCUGCUCUGAAAGAUCCCUUCUUUUGUACGACACACCUCUUGAACUGCUAACAUUUAGUUUUGCAGCACAGAGAUCCUAUUUAGAGCAAACAAUUGUGUAGUCAGAAUGAAUGAAUGAUUCUUUGCAAAAGGAUUGCUGUUUCCUAACCUGGAGAACUCCCUUUCACUGGGAUAAAUAUCCUUCCUGCCGACAGCUAAUAAUGUAGGUGGGAUUUUGUUGUAUCUGUUUAGAUGUGCUCAUGAAAAAAUAUUACCGAAAAUAACAAAAGCAAGGGCUGUCCAGAAUAUUUUAAUAAAUUUACUGCUCAUGUGUAUCUUACAAGAAAUCACAAUGUAUUUUUGUCUAACAUUACUACAUAAGUACAGAAUCUUCAAUAUUCUUUUAAUGAAGGGCCAGAGGUCCUUGUUACCACUCUUUCCUUGAGUCAUAAUUCUGCAGUUUGAUUUCCCUAAAGAACACAAGUGAAAGAUGCUACCAAGGUUUUAAUAUUGCCAUGACAUUUUCACUUACCUCCACCCCCAUUUCCAAAUAUAAUAGACAUGAUUGCAUCACGUAAUGCUCAACACCAUCUGAUCUAGGCUGUGACAGAUAUCCAAUAAUACUGUCAUUGAAGAACUAAUCUCUCAAAACAGAAGUAAAAAGAAUGAGAAUAACUUCUACUCUAGUCAGUUUCUAAAACAAUUGGAUUUAUUCAAUAUUUGGUGAAUCUCCCCUCUACAAUGACAUCUCCCAUUCUUCUCUCAGUUACAAUAUUUGCAGAACGACAAUCAUUCUCUAUUUUUUGUUCCUGAGUCUGCUUGUCUCUAUAUUCCUCCAAGCCCUACCAUCAAUUAAGAAAUGUUUACUCCUCUGUCAUGCUGUCUCCAUUCCCUUUAGCCAAAUGCAGACACAAAAGUUUCUGCAGAUCCCAGAAAUCUUGAGCAACACACACAAAAUGCUGGAGGAACUCUGCAGGCCAGGCAGCAUGUAUGGAAAGGAAUAAACAGUUGAUGUUUCAGGCUGAGACCCUAGUCCAGUCUGAUGAAGGGCCAUCAACUAGCAGGUUCUUGAACUAGAGGGGAUAACUUGACUCACCCCAGCACUGAACAGAUUCCACAACCUGUGGACUUACUUUUAAGGACGCUACAAUUCACGUUCUCAAUAUUUAUUGUUUAUGUAUUAUUAUUACUUUUUUAUAUUUGUACUGUUCAUUGUCUUUUGAAUUUUGGUUGUUUGUCCAUCUUUUCAUUAAUUCUAUUGUAUUUCCUUGUACUUACUGUGAAU